CUAGGAAACGGUAGCUAAUACCGCAUAACGUCGCAAGACCAAAGAGGGGGACCUUCGGGCCUCUUGCCAUCAGAUGUGCCCAGAUGGGAUUAGCUAGUAGGUGGGGUAACGGCUCACCUAGGCGACGAUCCCUAGCUGGUCUGAGAGGAUGACCAGCCACACUGGAACUGAGACACGGUCCAG
rnacentral:rRNA from 1 species